rnacentral:lncRNA from 1 species
UCCCUUGCCAAUCACAUGAGAACUGACCUAGGGAGAACAUCAGCUGAAGGUUGUCUUCUAACUGGAAAAUGAAGAGUCAAAAAGUCCUGAGGCCUUUCUGCCCUUCUCACUGAAAGGAAAAUGAACAGCCUGGUCAUAGGAUGAAUGUUGUCUUGGGUCACCAUCAAGAUCCUGACCUGCCUAAAUGAUGUGACACAAGGAAAGAGUGCCCAUUUCUUUCGUUUCUUCUUCAAC